AGAGUUUGAUCCUGGCUCAGAUUGAACGCUGGCGGCAGGCCUAACACAUGCAAGUCGAACGGUAACAGGAAGCAGCUUGCUGCUUCGCUGACGAGUGGCGGACGGGUGAGUAAUGUCUGGGAAACUGCCUGAUGGAGGGGGAUAACUACUGGAAACGGUAGCUAAUACCGCAUAAUGUCGCAAGACCAAAGAGGGGGACCUUCGGGCCUCUUGCCAUCGGAUGUGCCCAGAUGGGAUUAGCUUGUUGGUGGGGUAACGGCUCACCAAGGCGACGAUCCCUAGCUGGUCUGAGAGGAUGACCAGCCACACUGGAACUGAGACACGGUCCAGACUCCUACGGGAGGCAGCA
rnacentral:rRNA from 1 species